UACGUAGGGGGCAAGCGUUGUCCGGAUUUAUUGGGCGUAAAGAGCUCGUAGGCGGUUUGGUAAGUCUGGUGUGAAAUCUCCACGCUCAACGUGGAGGGGCCACCCGAUACUGCCAUGACUGGAGUCCGGUAGAGGAGUGUGGAAUUCCCGGUGUAGCGGUGAAAUGCGCAGAUAUCGGGAGGAACACCCGUAGCGAAGGCGGCACUCUGGGCCGGUACUGACGCUGAGGUGCGAAAGCGUGGGGAGCAAACAGG
rnacentral:rRNA from 1 species